AAAAUUGAGACUUGGACCUAGAACGGAAAGAAAUCGAUUUAUGGACUAGUAUGUCCUUUUCACAUUUGUGGUAUCGAGAGUUUCCAGGUUAGCUCGGGUUGGAGGCCGUCAGAGAUAUUAUCACCCUAUCGAGUUAACGUUAUCGGAGUAAGUAAACUCAAGUGAUUCGAGUCUAUGGCAUGUAUAGGGUUUUAAUGUGAGUAUGUAAUAUUAUGAUUUAGCCAAAUUCAUUGGCUUGUUAUUAAGGUAGUAUUAGUCAUGUAAAUUGGCCUAUGUCGGCUAAUGACAUUAUGGGCCCAUAUGAUUAUUCUUAUGCAUGUAUGUUAUUAUCUCUUGUGAUGUGGCUUACAACAUGUAUGCCUAGAGAUUGAAUUGAGAUUCAUUGAUGAGCUAGUAACUAAUGCAGGAUUAAGUGAUUGGUAAAUAGUUAAUAA